rnacentral:rRNA from 1 species
CGCAGCCGCGGUAAUUCCAGCUCCAAUAGCGUAUAUUAAAGUUGUUGCAGUUAAAAAGCUCGUAGUUGAAUUUUUGAUUCUACCAAUUGGUCCAUCUUUUAGAUGAGUACUGGUUGUGUGGGGUCUAUCCGCCUGGUGAUACGUAAUGUCCUUUAUUGGAUGUUGCGGGUAGUCAGGACCUUUACCUUGAAAAAAUUAGAGUGUUUAAAGCAGGCUUAUGCCGGAAUACAUUAGCAUGGAAUAAUAGAAUAGGACGAAGUUGUUUUAUUUUGUUGGUUUCUAGGACAACCGUAAUGAUUAAUAGGGAUAGUUGGGGGCAUUAGUAUUCAACUGUCAGAGGUGAAAUUCUUGGAUUUAUUGAAGACUAACUACUGCGAAAGCAUUUGCCAAGGAUGUUUCAUUAAUCAAGAACGAAAGUUAGGAUCGAAGACGAUCAGAUACCGUCGUAGUCUUAACCAUAAACUAUGCCGACUAGGGAUCGGGCGAUGUUGUUUCCAUGACUCGCUCGGCACUAUGAGAA